AUAUUCAUUUGUCAGAGGCGCCUAUUCAGUUAUCUCAAUUAGACCAAAGAUUAGGGGAUCGAAUAUGAUCCGAUACCGUCGUAGUCUUAACCAUAAACUAUGCCGACUAGGGAUCGGGUGUUGUCCUUUUUUUGGCGCACUCGGCACCUUACGAGAAAUCAAAGUUUUUGGGUUCUGGGGGGAGUAUGGUCGCAAGGCUGAAACUUAAAGGAAUUGACGGAAGGGCACCACCAGGAGUGGAGCCUGCGGCUUAAUUUGACUCAACACGGGGAAACUCACCAGGUCCAGACACAAUAAGGAUUGACAGAUUGAGAGCUCUUUCUUGAUUUUGUGGGUGGUGGUGCAUGGCCGUUCUUAGUUGGUGGAGUGAUUUGUCUGCUUAAUUGCGAUAACGAACGAGACCUUAACCUACUAAAUAGUGCUGCUAGCUUUUGCUGGUAUAGUCACUUCUUAGAGGGACUAUCGAUUUCAAGUCGAUGGAAGUUUGAGGCAAUAACAGGUCUGUGAUGCCCUUAGACGUUCUGGGCCGCACGCGCGCUACACUGACGGAGCCAGCGAGUAUCUACCUUGGCCGAGAGGUCUGGGAAAAUCUUGUUGAAACUCCGUCGUGCUGGGGGAUAGAGCAUUGUAAAUUAUUGCUCUUCCACCG
rnacentral:rRNA from 1 species